ACAUUGGUGGCUCAGUGGUAGAAUUCUUGCCUUUCACACAGGAGCUCCAGGUUUGAUUUCUGGGCAGUGUA
rnacentral:tRNA from 1 species